UACGAAGGUGGCAAGCGUUGUUCGGAUUUACUGGGCGUAAAGGGCGCGUAGGCGGUUUGUACAGUCAGGCGUGAAAUUCCUGGGCUCAACCUGGGGGCUGCGUUUGAUACGUGCAGACUUGAGUUCGGAAGAGGGUCGUGGAAUUCCCAGUGUAGAGGUGAAAUUCGUAGAUAUUGGGAAGAACACCGGUGGCGAAGGCGGCGACCUGGUCCGAUACUGACGCUGAGGCGCGAAAGCGUGGGGAGCAAACAGG
rnacentral:rRNA from 1 species